UACGUAGGGUGCGAGCGUUGUCCGGAAUUAUUGGGCGUAAAGAGCUCGUAGGCGGUCUGUCGCGUCGGUCGUGAAAACUUGGGGCUUAACCCUGAGCUUGCGGUCGAUACGGGCAUGACUGGAGUUCGGCAGGGGAGACUGGAAUUCCCGGUGUAGCGGUGAAAUGCGCAGAUAUCGGGAAGAACACCCGUGGCGAAGGCGGCUACUCUGGGACGGUACUGACGCUGAGACGCGAAAG
rnacentral:rRNA from 1 species